rnacentral:tRNA from 2 species
GGGCCCUUAGCUCAGCUGGUCAGAGCAGGGGACUCAUAAUCCCUUGGUCGUAGGUUCGAAUCCUACAGGGCCCA